AUUGAACGCUAGCGGGAUGCCUUACCCAUGCAAGUCGAACGGAGUGGCGAACGGGUGAGUAAUGUAUCGGAACGUGCCCAGUAGCGGGGGAUAACUAAGCGAAAGCGUAGCUAAUACCGCAUACUAUUGGAGCGGCCGAUAUCGGAUUAGCGAGUUGGUGGGGUAACGGCUCACCAAGGCGACGAUCCGGAGCGGGUGUGAGAGGACGACCAGCCACACUGGGACUGAGACACGGCCCAGACUCCUACGGGUGGCAGCAGUGGGGAAUUUUGGACAAUGGGGGAACGCCCGAUCCAGCCGUCCCGAGUGUUCGAUGAAGGCCUUCUGGUUGUAAAGCACUUUUGGCAGGAAAGCGGUACCUGCAGAAUAAGCACCGGUUAACUACGUGCCAGCAGCCGCGGUAAUUC
rnacentral:rRNA from 1 species